rnacentral:rRNA from 1 species
CCUACGGGAGGCAGCAGUGGGGAAUAUUGCACAAUGGGGGAAACCCUGAUGCAGCGACGCCGCGUGAGCGAUGCAGUAUUUCGGUAUGUAAAGCUCUAUCAGCAGGGAAGAAAAUGACGGUACCUGACUAAGAAGCCCCGGCUAACUACGUGCCAGCAGCCGCGGUAAUACGUAGGGGGCAAGCGUUAGCCGGAUUUACUGGGUGUAAAGGGAGCGUAGACGGCUGUGCAAGCCAGAUGUGAAAGCCCGGGGCUCAACCCCGGGACGGCAUUUGGAACUGGGUGGCUGGAGUGUCGGAGAGGAAGGCGGAAUUCGUGGUGUAGCGGUGAAAUGCGUAGAUAUUAGGAGGAACACCAGUGGCGAAGGCGGCCUGCUGGACGAUGACUGACGUUGAGGCUCGAAAGCGUGGGGAGCAAACAGGAUUAGAUACCCUUGUAGUC